rnacentral:lncRNA from 1 species
CAACCUCAGAGGUCAAGUUGGGGGAAAAAAAAAGAAAGCACCCCGGACGGAGGUCAGACUGCAGGCAGGGCAAGCUGCAGGCCCCAUCCUGCGGGUUUCUCCCGGUACUUCCGCAGCCCCCAGGGCCUCGGCUCCGGUCCCCGCAAGGGGGUACGUUCCCUUCCUCCCCACCUGUCCGGCUGGGCUUCCCGAAGCGAUGCCCUAGCGGUGGGAGUGAGAACACGCCGCGCGGGAGCCUCCUUUCGGUUCGGCUUCCCCAGCUGGACCCCGAAGCCCCGGGGGAAGGAAAUUACCACUCAGUACUCUCCCACCCCCGCCCGGUUCCUCUCUCCGGCUCGCUGCUUGUCUCGCUUUGAUGCCGCCGAGCCCCAUCGCCACUUCUGGGCGGCCAUCAGGCGGAGGCGGCGGCGAGCUCCCGGGCUCCAGGGAGGGAGAUGGGGCAGGGUGAGUAAGCCGGCCCGGGGAGAGGAUCCGAAGCGCCCGGCACCCGCCCAUGGGCAGAGGAGGCGCUGUCUGGCCCGGCCCGCCCGGGGCAGAGCCUGGGAGAGGCUUGCCGCUCUCUCCUUCCUCCCAGUCCCGGCUGGGAGCCGAACGCGAGCGCGCCGGCCGGGGGAGGGAAGAGUGGGAGAGGAAGCCGCGGGAGAGAACAGGGAGCCACUGUCCCCUUUUGAAAAGAAAGUAGGAACCCUGGGUGGGAAAAAAACAAAGGCGCCCUCCCAACUUUUCUUCGAGCAAAGUUUUCCCAGGGCGUUUUGUUUGUGCGAACUCGGCCGGCGGAGCCCGGGAUCGCGCUGCCGGCGUGGCGGCUGUGCUUGUGCGCCUCGCCCCGCUCCUCCUCCUUCCAGCCUGGGCAGCUCCGCUCCCUCCCCGAGAGGCGCCAAAUGGCUACCCAGUCACCUCGCGGGGCGGGGGCUGCAGCGCCGCCUCCUGCCGCCGCCGCUCCGGGCGGCCGCUAGACCCGGCGGCGGCGCUGCCCGCGGACGGGGAGCCGGGCCCGCAGGUGGAAGCGCACCCUGGAGGCGGACGGGCGGGUCCCGGGCUGGGGGCGGCUCGGGCGGGCUCUUGACGUGCGGCCAGCCCCGCUCGGGCCUCGGGUAA